AGAGUUUGAUCCUGGCUCAGGGUUAACGCUGGCGGUGCGCAUAACACAUGCAAGUCGAGCGAGGGCUUAUUUCCCGCAAGGGAGAUGAGUUCCUAGCGGCGAACGGGUGAGUAACACGUGGGUAACCUUUCCUAUCGCGGGGGAUAACACCGGGAAACCGAUGCUAAUACCGCAUGUCGUCACUGGUCGCAUGGCUGGUGAAGAAAGCAGCAAUGCACGAUGGGGUGGGCCCGCGGCCUAUCAGCUAGUCGGUGGGGUAACGGCCUACCGAGGCGAUGACGGGUAGCUGGUCUGAGAGGACGGCCAGCCACACGGGGACUGAGACACGGCCCCGACUCCUACGGGAGGCAGCAGUGAGGAAUCUUCCGCAAUGGGCGAAAGCCUGACGGAGCGACACCGCGUGUGGGAUGAAGUCUUUCGGGAUGUAAACCACUGUCGGAGGGGAAGACAAAAAAGACGGUACCCUCCAAGAAAGCCCCGGCUAACUACGUGCCAGCAGCCGCGGUAAUACGUAGGGGGCAAGCGUUAUCCAGAUUUACUGGGCGUAAAGCGCGUGUAGGCGGCUGGUUAAGCUGUGAUGUGAAAUCUUCCGGCUCAACCGGAAAACUGCAUUGCAAACUGGCCUGGCUCGAGUGCAGGAGAGGGAAGCGGAAUUCCCAGGUGUAGCGGUGAAAUGCGUAGAUAUCUGGGAGGAACACCAGUGGCGA
rnacentral:rRNA from 1 species